AGUGAACGCUGGCGGUAGGCCUAACACAUGCAAGUCGAACGGCAGCACAGUAAGAGCUUGCUCUUACGGGUGGCGGGUGGCGGACGGGUGAGGAAUACAUCGGAAUCUACUUUUUCGUGGGGGAUAACGUAGGGAAACUUACGUUAAUACCGCAUACGACCUACGGGUGAAAGCAGGGGAUCUUCGGACCUUGCGCGAUUGAAUGAGCCGAUGUCGGAUUAGCUAGUUGGCGGGGUAAAGGCCCACCAAGGCGACGAUCCGUAGCUGGUCUGAGAGGAUGAUCAGCCACACUGGAACUGAGACACGGUCCAGACUCCUACGGGAGGCAGCAGUGGGGAAUAUUGGACAAUGGGCGCAAGCCUGAUCCAGCCAUACCGCGUGGGUGAAGAAGGCCUUCGGGUUGUAAAGCCCUUUUGUUGGGAAAGAAAAGCGGCAGGUUAAUACCCCGCUGUUCUGACGGUACCCAAAGAAUAAGCACCGGCUAACUUCGUG
rnacentral:rRNA from 1 species